AUAUAUAUAUAUGCUGGAAGAUAGUAUAUAGUACAAAUCCUCUCAGCUAGACAAAAGUGUUUCUAAGACCCUAAAGGAUGUUUUCCCACAACAUGCUAACACAUCAUAUGAAACAGAGAAAACACUGACAAAUGUUUAAGUAUAUUUUUUGUCUAGUGGAGAAUAUAAUCUAAGAAACCCACAAGAUUUUGUUUGUUUGUUUUUUUGAGAUGGAGUCUCGCUCUUCUGCCAGGCUAGAGGGCAGUGGCGCGAUCUCGGCUCACUGCAACCUCUGCCUCCUGGGUUCAAGUGAUUCUCCUGCCUCAGCCUCCUGAGUAGCGGGGACUACAGUUUAUAGCCUCAAGAGGCAUCUCACACACAUCCGGACCAGAGGAGAAUCAUGAGCUGACGGCCUCUGAGCUGAGACAGCAGCAGGAAGAGACCUCUGGGUGGCUUGAGUGGGGGGUGGCGAGCAUAUUUCACUUGUGGAAGGAAAACGGAGUCUUGCUUUGUCACCAGGCUGGAGUGCAGUGGUGUGAUCUUGGCUCACCGCAACCUCCGCCUCCCGGGUUCCAGCGAUUCUCCUGCCUCAGCCUCCUGAGUAGUGGGGACUACAGACACGCGCCAUCACACCCAGCUAAUUUUUGUAUUUUUUAGUAGAGGCGGGGUUUCACCAUAUUGGACAGGCUGGUCUCGAACUCCUGACCUCAUGAUCCACCUGCCUCAGCCUCCCAAAGUGCUGGGAUUACAGCACAGUGGCCAGCCCCUUCUUCCUCUUUCUUGGUUUGCUCCCUUGAUUUGGAGCUCCUCCUUUAGUAGGCUCCUGAAAACAUGUAUUUUGAAAAUGAAUUUUUAAAAGUAAGAGUUUGCAUAUCUGAAAAUGUUGUCAUACUGUCACACUUGACUGACCACUUGGGUAGGUAUAAAGUUCUAGGUUGGAAAUUA